AUACGUAGGGGGCGAGCGUUGUCCGGAAUUAUUGGGCGUAAAGAGUGCGUAGGUGGUUACCUAAGCGCAAGGUUUAAUCUUGAGGCUCAACCUCAUUCUGCCUUGCGAACUGGGCUACUUGAGUGCAGGAGGGGAAAGCGGAAUUCCCAGUGUAGCGGUGAAAUGCGUAGAUAUUGGGAAGAACACCGGUGGCGAAGGCGGCUUUCUGGACUGUAACUGACCCUGAGGCACGAAAGCGUGGGGAGCAGACAGGAUUAGAUACCCUGGUAGUCCACGCCGUAAACGAUGAGCACUAGUUGUUGGGUACGAAUGUAUUCAGUUACGCAGUUAUCGCUAUAUGUGCUCCGCCUGGGGAGUACGGUGGCAACACUAAAACUCAAAUGAAUUGACGGGG
rnacentral:rRNA from 1 species